ensembl:lncRNA
GGGUUACUCAGACAGGACCCAGGGAAGCGGAGUCAGACAGGAGCCUUACCCAGGCUCCAGGCCAGCAGCCAUUCAUUCUCUCAGCCAAGCCCUUGACUACACGUGGGCCUCAGAGACAUGCUGUCUCACACUGGCACGUGACAUACACACGGUCACGUUCCCAUAUGCAGGGAGUUCCUUUCCUCUCAGGGCUGAGUUCCUAGAAAUCAGCACAGUUCCCAGCACAGAGGAGAUGUACAUUCAUACGUGGGUAUCCCGGCACCCUUCCACCAAAUACCCAGUGCCACCAGCUCCUACAGUUCCUUCCAGAAGUGGCCCACGUCUGGCCUGAUCCCUCAUCCCACCAGACACACACCUAAGCACACUCUGUGCCACCCGACAGAGACCUUGCUUCUUCGGGCUGAUGAUGACAAGUGAAACCAGUCAGCACCAGGGGGAUCUGACGUGGACCCAGCCCUCCAGGAAAUAGCACUGCAGCGGGAGGCUCCUGAGACACGCCUUAGACCACAGUGGGUGGGGCCCAGCCGCUGCCUGUCCUCUUGCUGCCCUGCCCAGGAAGAAGCCAGCCAGAGAGAUGUCUGACCCAUCGGUCCUCCCCUCUGUCCUCUGGCCUGAUCCCCCUCCUCUCCCCAUGGUGGCUCAGGCUGGCCGUGCCCUUCCCAUCCUGUGGGCCAGCGGUCUAGGGUGGGGAGCUCAUGGUGGGAGUGAAGCCAUCUCGGCUCUGACCUGGGCUAGGCCCAAACCUGCCUCCCUUGGGGCCUUAUUCUGGUUGGAAGAAAAGAGCCGCUUUAGUCUCUGACUCGUGGAGACAGACAACCAGAAUCUUUCUCCUAAGCUUUUCCUCAGGACUCACCUCAUUGUGCAUCUGCUUGAAGCCCUUUCUAGAUAAAAAUGAGUAAAAUGCACAGAUCUAUAAGUCUCUGUAUGUAUGCAAAUGUACUUUGUGUGGUGUCAUCGGUCUAGCAAAACCCAU